rnacentral:misc_RNA from 1 species
AAAAAAAAAAAAAAAAAAGACUUACCAAAUACAGUAUAGGCCCAACAGACUUCAAAUCACCAAUAGCCAUGUAUCCCAACGCUAUGACGUCAAGUGUAGCAGCUUCUUCAAUGCCUCUAGCACCUGCAUUAAUCUGCUCUUUCACAACUUCAUAAUUUGCUUGGAGUAGGUCCAUAGCGUUGUCUUUGUUUCCCAUCAAAAUCAUUGACUUAACUUCAUCAUACAACUCUUGCAAUUGUCUCUCAAAAUCUUUCAUACCAUCCGAAGGAUUACUUGGGCUUUGAAGCAAUGUCCUAGACCUUGGGAGGUCACUUGGAUUCGAGGCACCUGAUGAAUUUCCUUUGCAUGCCACAUCCACAUUUAAUGAGGCAACUGAAGUAAAAGUUUUCAAUGUGCAGUGAGGACUAAUGGCUUGAGCCGGUAUCAUGUAUAGUUUGAAAAUACAUUUCAUGCCUUUCUGAUGACUUGAAUGCAAGUCGACAAAAGCUUGAUUAAUCCGGUGGUUGCUUAAAGAGGGGAAAGAUAAGAGAGAAGCUGCCAUUUCCAGGAGUUGCAAAGCAGAGAGACAGCCGCUAAGUAGACUCGCCUCUAG